rnacentral:rRNA from 1 species
GGACGAACGCUGGCGGCGUGCCUAACACAUGCAAGUCGAGCGAUGAAGUUUCUUCGGGAACGGAUUAGCGGCGGACGGGUGAGUAACACGUGGGCAACCUGCCUUAUAGAGGGGAAUAGCCUUCCGAAAGGAAGAUUAAUACCGCAUAAGAUUGUAGCUUCGCAUGAAGUAGCAAUUAAAGGAGCAAUCCGCUAUAAGAUGGGCCCGCGGCGCAUUAGCUAGUUGGUGAGGUAACGGCUCACCAAGGCGACGAUGCGUAGCCGACCUGAGAGGGUGAUCGGCCACAUUGGGACUGAGACACGGCCCAGACUCCUACGGGAGGCAGCAGUGGGGAAUAUUGCACAAUGGGGGAAACCCUGAUGCAGCAACGCCGCGUGAGUGAUGACGGCCUUCGGGUUGUAAAGCUCUGUCUUUGGGGACGAUAAUGACGGUACCUGAGGAGGAAGCCACGGCUA